GCCGCCGUAGUCUCUUUAGACGGCGAUGCGUUACUCUGGUAUCAGUGGGAGAAUGGGCGUCGCCCCAUUCGCAACUGGGCAGAAUUGAAGGGCAUGUUUCUUCGACAAUUUCGCUCCACCUCUACGGGAAGUUUGCAAGAACAGUGGCUGCAUCAUCAUCAGACGGCGGAUGUCCUCGAUUACAGACGCCGGUUUAUCGAAUUAAUGGCACCUUUGACCGGAGUGCCAGAGGACAUUGCUUUAGCCCACUUUCUAAAUGGCUUAAAGCCAGAGCUGAAGUCUGAGGUUCGUGUUUUGGGUCCUCUGACACUGGACCACGCCAUGGAAUUAGCAGUUAAGGUGGAGGAAAAGAUCAAACAUAUCAGUGCUAAGCGCGUUUCUGUAAGUGCUUUUUCCCCUCACACCUCUACACCCUCAUAUUCUGCGCUCCNCGUUAUUUUCAUUUUUACCGCCUGGGAGAAGAGGAGGUGUUGGAGGCCGCCGUAGUCUCUUUAGACGGCGAUGCGUUACUCUGGUAUCAGUGGGAGAAUGGGCGUCGCCCCAUUCGCAACUGGGCAGAAUUGAAGGGCAUGUUUCUUCGACAAUUUCGCUCCACCUCUACGGGAAGUUUGCAAGAACAGUGGCUGCAUCAUCAUCAGACGGCGGAUGUCCUCGAUUACAGACGCCGGUUUAUCGAAUUAAUGGCACCUUUGACCGGAGUGCCAGAGGACAUUGCUUUAGCCCA
rnacentral:lncRNA from 1 species